rnacentral:lncRNA from 1 species
AGAGAGAGAGAGAGAGCAAGACUGCCGUGCUCUCGGGAGCACGGAGGCCUCCGUGCUCCUGAACCGUUUUCGAUGAUAGAAUUUUCGAAUUGAUGAUCAGCUCCGUUAGACUUGAUCUAGCGUAAUUGAAGUUUCUAGAAAAUAAUUUUUGCGAUUUUUCGAUAUUAUUUACCUAACAUCGAAAGGAUUCAAAAUCAAUAAUUUUUAACGGCUGAAAAUAAAAAUUCUAUAAAAAGUGAUGAUAUAGCACUAAAAUUUUCGAUCAGAAAUAUUAAUAUUGUUGUAGAUAGUAUAAAGAAUUUUGUAUCAAUUUUUCAUCUGAUUUGAAUACUUCUACACCGUUAAACUUGAAAACGGCAGAUAUUAACUAUUAAAAAUUAUUGAUUUUGAAUUCUUUCGAUCACUAGGUAAAUGAUAUUAAAAAAUCGCAAAAAUUAUUUUCUAGAAACUUCAAAUAUCCUAAAUCAAGUCUAACGGAGCCGAUCAUUGAUUCGAAAAUUUCAUCAUCGAAAACGGCUUAGGAGCACGGAGCCUUCCGUGCUUCCAGCUCGUUUUCGAUGUUGCGACUUUCGAAUCGCCGAUCAGCUCCGUUAAAGUUGAUCUAGAGUAUUUGGAGUACCUAGAAAAUAAAUUUUAUUAUUUUUCGAUAUCAUUUGCCUAGUGAUCGAAUGGGCUCGAANGUAUAAAGAAUUUUCUAUCAAAAUUUCACGUGAUUUGUAUAUUUCUACACCGUUAAACUUGCAAACGGCUCACUACGGCCAUUAAAAUUUGUUGAUUUUGAGCUCAUUCGAUCACUAGGCAAAUAAUAUUGAAAAAUAAUAAAAUUUAUUUUCUAGGUACUCCAAAUACUCUAGAUCAAGUUUAACGGAGCCGAUCGACGAUUCGAAAAUCGCAACAUCGAAAAUGAGCUGGAAGGCUCCGUGCUUCCGAUAGCAUAGUAGCCUCACUCUAUAU